UGGGGAAUAUUGGACAAUGGGCGCAAGCCUGAUCCAGCCAUGCCGCGUGAGUGAUGAAGGCCCUAGGGUUGUAAAGCUCUUUCACCGGUGAAGAUAAUGACGGUAACCGGAGAAGAAGCCCCGGCUAACUUCGUGCCAGCAGCCGCGGUAAUACGAAGGGGGCUAGCGUUGUUCGGAUUUACUGGGCGUAAAGCGCACGUAGGCGGACUUUUAAGUCAGGGGUGAAAUCCCGGGGCUCAACCCCGGAACUGCCUUUGAUACUGGAAGUCUUGAGUAUGGUAGAGGUGAGUGGAAUUCCGAGUGUAGAGGUGAAAUUCGUAGAUAUUCGGGGGAACACCAGUGGCGAAGGCGGCUCACUGGACCAUUACUGACGCUGAGGUGCGAACGCGUGGGGAGCAAACAGG
rnacentral:rRNA from 1 species